GGGUUGUGAGGUUAAGCGACUAAGCGUACACGGUGGAUGCCCUGGCAGUCAGAGGCGAUGAAGGGCGUGCUAAUCUGCGAUAAGCGCCGGUAAGGUGAUAUGAACCGUUAUAACCGGCGAUACCCGAAUGGGGAAACCCAGUGUGACUCGUCACACUAUCAUUAACUGAAUCCAUAGGUUAAUGAGGCGAACCGGGGGAACUGAAACAUCUAAGUACCCCGAGGAAAAGAAAUCAACCGAGAUUCCCCCAGUAGCGGCGAGCGAACGGGGAGGAGCCCAGAGCCUGAAUCAGCAUGUGUGUUAGUGGAAGCGUCUGGAAAGGCGCGCGAUACAGGGUGACAGCCCCGUACACAAAAGCGCAUGUGCUGUGAGCUCGAUGAGUAGGGCGGGACACGUGGUAUCCUGUCUGAAUAUGGGGGGACCAUCCUCCAAGGCUAAAUACUCCUGACUGACCGAUAGUGAACCAGUACCGUGAGGGAAAGGCGAAAAGAACCCCGGCGAGGGGAGUGAAAAAGAACCUGAAACCGUGUACGUACAAGCAGUGGGAGCCCCACCACCAAAGCAUUUGCUGUACCGCGUUGACGGAGCGAAGCGACGUCAAACCGAUAAAACAGCAGUGUAAAGUGAGCCGCAGGGCGCUUUGCG
rnacentral:rRNA from 2 species